GGUUGGUCCAAUGGUAGUGGGUUGUCAGAACUUAUAACAUUAGUGUCACUAAAGCUGGUAUAGAACCCCCCACUGCUAAAUUUGACUGGCUUUUA
rnacentral:Y_RNA from 1 species